CGAAGAAGAAGGCGCAAUGUGCCAGAAUGUUGUGAUUUCCUACAGUCGCGAAGGCAACAUGCAUGGCUGUCAUGGCUGAGUGGACUUCCUUGGUGUUUCGGCAUGUUUGCAACCGACAGUAGCCUGCUUUCUUUCCGCCAGGGAGGACAUUGUUGACCAACUCGGCAUCUUUGACACGUCCGUGGGUGGAAAUGACCACACAGGCUGUGAUUAGAAAGAAGACAGGAUGAGGUUGAGGGCACGCGGGUGCUGUUUGCCAGACAGGAGUAAGAGAUAACCGUGACAGCAACAAAGAGUUUCACAAAUUCCUCAGUGAAUUCACCAAGACGUCACAGUGGUGUCAUUGAGUUGGAGAGCUAGCUUGCGCAGCUAGUGUGUCCAUGACGAGGACUUCUGUUUUGCUUGAUCAUCCGCUUUACUGCCUCGUACAGACACCGUUUGGAAAUAAUUAAGGGCGCAUCUUGCAAAUGGACAUGUCGUGUGGACUCCUGCCCAGGCCUCUGCAUGGAAGAGAACCCCGGGGCCAUGUGAGGAGCAGUCAUGCGGAAGAGGAAACCAGGGGAAGUAUCUUUGGCCAGGCAAGUCUGGAUGGUCACGAGGCCAAGAUGGCGACAUGGAUGAGAGGCAACACUUGCAGCAAGAAAAAAAAGCAGCACACCACUGGAAUAUUGUAUCAAAAAAGAAAGGAAGGAGUAUACUGCAAGAAGGACCCAGACGCAAAAGGUGAUAAUCCUGCCACUUGAUAGAUGUGCCUGCAGGCCAAGGAAUAAGUCAUGUGCACGCCGAGGAAACCGGGCACGCAAGUGAGCUAGCUGGUUGCUGUCCUGGACUCUUCCAAACCUUACCUGUGUUUUCCAGACAGUCCCACUAUGCUGUGCACACCAGCACCCCAAGAGAGUGUCUUCAAUAUCCGUCCAUGCACUACUAAGUCGGGCAUCUAUUUGUGGUGGUGUGGUCGAGCGGCGGGGUGGAGGGGCGUGGCGUGUCAGCGGCAGCAGCGAUGACCAAGAAGAACACGGAGUUGGAAUAUAAUUACAACACUUUAUGUACAUAUUUAUAUACAUAUUUAUAAAAUAUUUACAUAUUUAUAUAAUUUGUAACUACAAGCUCCAUUCACACAGAGUCCCAUUGCUUUUAUAAGCGGUCGAGCGAGUCAAAAGCCGGAAAAAAAAAAAUUAUAAAAAAUGUUUUUUCUUUUAUUUUUAUUUUUUGUUUUUUAUUUUUGGCGGCCGUAAUUCUUUCAGGGCGAAAUGAAUGUGUGGGAAACCCUGACAGAUGGACCUAAUGUUGAUCUGGAGAUUUAAAACUUGAAUAAUAAUAAAACAAAAUAAUACUGACUGACACAUUUUAAAUAUUUUUUUUGACCAAAAUCCUUUGGGGUCCUGGGGAUCAAGCCUGAGUGGAGGCCUAAAUGUAUAUUGGUUAUACAUAUAUUGUAUUG